rnacentral:lncRNA from 1 species
CAUUCUUCAGAUUACAAAAUCUUCAUGAAAAGCCACCAUUGUCCUGGCUCAGCCUUCCUGCUACCCAGCUUGACCCAGUCUCCUACAGAACUGUCCAUCGCAGGCCAGAGGGGGCUCCCAGACUGCCAAACGGAGACGGUGUUCACCCACUUCUUGAGUGCUAUACACAGCCAGCAGCUGCAGAAAUAAUGCUUCUACCACCCUCUGGAAGGACUGAUUUGGUUUCCCUUGCAAAGAAGCAGCAGCUGCACUCUUCUGGUGACACAGCACAAAGCUUGGAGAAAUGAAAGCAAGACCACCCCAUCAUUGUAAUUCCCCUUCCACAAUACAUCAGUGUUCUAGUGAUGGCCCUAGUGCCCUUGGCCAUGCCUAACCACUUCUAGUGGUGCUUGCUUAACAAAAGCCAAGGCAGAAGAACAGGUAAACAGUAAAAGCAAUGCAAGCCAGAAAAAUGCAAGAUGACAAAAAGGGUGACUGUCGUGAAAAAGGCCUUGGCAAAAGAUGCCAAC